rnacentral:tRNA from 1 species
AGAAGAGUAGCUCAACUGGUUAGAGCUGUGGUUUUCAAAACCAAAGGUUGAGGGUUCGAGUCCUUCUUCUUCUG